UCCCUCCCUGUUUCUCUCUGAUUUUCCAGAAUGCUCCUCCACAGAAUCCUGCCACCUGUGUCAGUGAAAAAAAAGAAGGCUAUUGGUAUUCCUCUUUGAGGCUGGUUAAGGGAGUGAUCCUACCACCUCCAUUCCCAGUCCUACCCACUCUCUACAUUUUUUAAGAACACAUGCAGUCGCCACAGGUUAACGUCGGCGCCGCCAUUGCAUGUCACAGGCAGACCAUAUGGGAACGUAGGAGGCUGAUGCAAUGAUGUGCUGGGAUACCCUGAGUUUGAAUCAUGUGUAGUAGCAUUACUGUCAGAGAAAGCAAAAUAAUUGUCUGAAUAAAAGAAUCAAUCCAUUUCA